GGGCGGUUAGCUCAGCUGGUUAGAGCGCCUGCCUCACACGCAGGAGGUCACAGGUUCGAGUCCUGUACCGCCCACCA
rnacentral:tRNA from 1 species